AUGCGGACCGCGGACCACGGCACGCUGCCCUGGAGAGUAAAUGGCCACAGCAACACCAACAGCUGUGUCAGUUGUACACGGAAGCAGCUCCGGACGGAUGACGUAUGGGGUCAGCGUUGUGCAUGCGCUGGUGAGUCUCGUGAAAACCAGUGUUUGUUAACAGGAGCAAGGGAAAACCAGUCUCCUCUUGGCUUAUAUCGAAAUCCUCUGAUAUUCUUCUUUACAAAUCCUCAUUUUGUACUUCUAAUUAGAGACCGUUGUUUUGUUUUGAUCUCUCCGCUGCGCUUUUGCGUUAGUCACUUCUAAGCAGCGCAAAGCCAACCUCAUAUGUCAUCUGCCCGGAACUACUUUCGUUUACAACAGUGAUCGCAAGCUAGGUUAAAUUGAUUAUUACAUUUUAUAUAUGGUUAUUCUUCUUCAAAAACGCAUCGAUUCGCUACAGGAGGACUUUGUUCACCCCCCAGAGCCGUGUGAGACACUUUUUUUUAUUAAGGAUGGGUGCUUUUUAUUUCAUUUCUUUUGGACUGAUGCACUGCAACACCCGCUGAGUGCCAUUAAACUGAUCAAAGACAAUUUUUAAUAGUCUGAAAGUCAUAUACACCAUUUAUAUAUGAUGACUCAAGGGUGAAUAAUUUGUGCUAAUUUUCAUUUUUCGGUGAACUAACCCUUUAAGAUGUUUUUUAUGAAAUCCAAGAGCUUUCUGACCCUGCAUAGACAGCAACGCAACUACCACAUUCAAGACCCAGAAAUGCUGUAAGGACAUCGUUAAAAUAAUCCAUGUGAUAUCAAUGGUUCAACCAUAAUUUUAUGAAACUGUCAUUGUGGUACUCUCGUGAACAUGCAUCGAAGACUGACACAGAAGAGAAGAAAUUGUUGAAAAAAGUCAUUAUUUUUGUUUUCUUUGUGUACAAAGGUAUUCUUAUACCGUCAUAAAAUUAAGGUUGAACCACUGAUGUCUGUGACUAUUUUAACAAUGUCCUUACUACCUUUCUGGGCAAAAAAACAUGGUAGUUGAGAUUUCAUCAAAAAUAUCUUAAUUUGUGUUCCAAAGAUAAACAAAGGUCUUUGGAAGCACAUCUUAAAGAAGAUGUGCUGCUCAGAUCUCGAAACACUCUUCAUUA
ensembl:lncRNA